rnacentral:rRNA from 1 species
AAAUUGAAGAGUUUGAUCAUGGCUCAGAUUGAACGCUGGCGGCAGGCCUAACACAUGCAAGUCGAACGGUAACAGGAAUCAGCUUGCUGUUUCGCUGACGAGUGGCGGACGGGUGAGUAAUGUCUGGGAAACUGCCUGAUGGAGGGGGAUAACUACUGGAAACGGUAGCUAAUACCGCAUAACGUCGCAAGACCAAAGAGGGGGACCUUCGGGCCUCUUGCCAUCGGAUGUGCCCAGAUGGGAUUAGCUAGUAGGUGGGGUAACGGCUCACCUAGGCGACGAUCCCUAGCUGGUCUGAGAGGAUGACCAGCCACACUGGAACUGAGACACGGUCCAGACUCCUACGGGAGGCAGCAGUGGGGAAUAUUGCACAAUGGGCGCAAGCCUGAUGCAGCCAUGCCGCGUGUAUGAAGAAGGCCUUCGGGUUGUAAAGUACUUUCAGCGGGGAGGAAGGGAGUAAAGUUAAUACCUUUACUCAUUGACGUUACCCGCAGAAGAAGCACCGGCUAACUCCGUGCCAGCAGCCGCGGUAAUACGGAGGGUGCAAGCGU